rnacentral:rRNA from 1 species
UACGUAGGUGGCAAGCGUUGUCCGGAAUUACUGGGUGUAAAGCGCGUGUAGGCGGCAGACCAAGUCGGCGGUGAAAGCGCCCGGCUCAACUGGGCGAGGUCCGUGGAAACUGGUCAGCUGGAGGACGGUAGAGGCGAGUGGAAUUCCCGGUGUAGUGGUGAAAUGCGUAGAUAUUGGGUGGAACACCGGUGGCGAAAGCGGCUCUCUGGUCCGGACCUGACGCUGAGGCGCGAAAGCGUGGGGAGCAAACAGG